rnacentral:rRNA from 1 species
ACGCUGGCGGCACGCCUAACACAUGCAAGUCGAACGAAGUAGCAAUACUUAGUGGCAGACGGGUGAGUAACAUGUAGGUAUCUGCCCUUUGGCCUGGAAUAACACGAGGAAACUUGUGCUAAUACCGGAUAAGUCUUUACGGAGAAAGCUUUAUGCACCAUUGGAUGAGCCUGCACUUGAUUAGUUUGUUGGUGGGGUAAUGGCCUACCAAGACUGUGAUCAAUAGCUGAUUUGAGAGGAUGAUCAGCCACAUUGGGACUGAGACACGGCCCAAACUCCUACGGGAGGCAGCAGUGGGGAAUCUUGCACAAUGGAGGAAACUCUGAUGCAGCGAUGCCGCGUGAGUGAAGAAGGCCUUUGGGUUGUAAAGCUCUUUCGUCGGGGAAGAAAAUGACUGUACCCGAAUAAGAAGGUCCGGCUAACUUCGUGCCAGCAGCCGCGGUAAUACGAAGGGACCUAGCGUAGUUCGGAAUUACUGGGCUUAAAGAGUUCGUAGGUGGUUGAAAAAGUUAGUGGUGAAAUCCCAGAGCUUAACUCUGGAACUGCCAUUAAAACUUUUCAGCUAGAGUAUGAUAGAGGAAAGCAGAAUUUCUAGUGUAGAGGUGAAAUUCGUAGAUAUUAGAAAGAAUACCAAUUGCGAAGGCAGCUUUCUGGAUCAUUACUGACACUGAGGAACGAAAGCAUGGGUAGCGAAGAGGAUUAGAUACCCUCGUAGUCCAUGCCGUAAACGAUGUGUGUUAGACGUUGGAAAUUUAUUUUCAGUGUCGCAGGGAAACCGAUAAACACACCGCCUGGGGAGUACGACCGCAAGGUUAAAACUCAAAUGAAUUGACGGGGACCCGCACAAGUAGUGGAGCAUGUGGUUUAAUUCGAAGAUACGCGCAGAACCUUACCAACACUUGACAUGUUCGUCGCAACUCUAAGAGAUUAGAGUUUUCGGUUCGGCCGGACGAAACACAGGUGCUGCAUGGCUGUCGUCAGCUCGUGUCGUGAGAUGUUGGGUUAAGUCCCGCAACGAGCGCAACCCUCACUUUUAGUUGCCAUCAUUAAGUUGGGCACUCUGAAAGAACUGCCAGUGAUAAGCUGGAGGAAGGUGGGGAUGACGUCAAGUCCUCAUGGCCCUUACGUGUUGGGCUACACACGUGCUACAAUGGUAUCUACAACAGGAAGCAAGACGGCGACGUCAAGCAAAUCCCUAAAAGAUACCUCAGUUCGGAUUGCACUCUGCAACUCGAGUGCAUGAAGCUGGAAUUACUAGUAAUCGUGGAUCAGCGUGCCACGGUGAAUGCGUUCCCGGGUCUUGUACUCACC